rnacentral:rRNA from 1 species
AGGACGAACGCUGGCGGCGUGCUUAACACAUGCAAGUCGAACGGUGAUCUCGGUGCUUGCACCGGGUGAUCAGUGGCGAACGGGUGAGUAACACGUGAGUAACCUGCCCCCGACUCUGGGAUAACCCCGGGAAAUCGGAGCUAAUACCGAUACGAGACGCACAGGCAUCUGUAGCGUCUGGAAAGAAUUUCGGUCGGGGAUGGACUCGCGGCCUAUCAGCUAGUUGGUGGGUAACGGCCCACCAAGGCGACGACGGGUAGCCGGCCUGAGAGGGCGACCGGCCACGCUGGGACUGAGACACGGCCCAGACUCCGUACGGGAGGCAGCAGGUGGGGAAUAGUUGCACAAGUGGGACAAAGCCUGAUGCAGCGACGCGCGUGGGAUGAAGGCGUUCGGGUUCGUAAACCCCGUUUGAGCGAAGGAGAAGACGAAGUGACGUACUGCGAGAAGA